AUACGGAGGGGGCUAGCGUUGUUCGGAAUUACUGGGCGUAAAGCGCGCGUAGGCGGUCUGUUUAGUCAGGCGUGAAAUCCCUGGGCUUAACCCAGGAACUGCGUUUGAAACUGGCAGACUAGAGUUCGGGAGAGGAGAGUGGAAUUCCCAGUGUAGAGGUGAAAUUCGUAGAUAUUGGGAAGAACACCAGUGGCGAAGGCGGCUCUCUGGACCGAUACUGACGCUGAGGUGCGAAAGCGUGGGGAGCAAACAGGAUUAGAAACCCCGGUAGUCC
rnacentral:rRNA from 1 species